GGCCAAGAUUUGCAUCAAUAAAACGGUUUUCUUGAUCAAAUGCUCGGAUUGUUGCUGCACCAGCUAGUGAUUCUGCAAAGUGGUGGAGGAUAGGAGCUCUUUGUAUUCCUGCUAAGCGGGCCAGUUCUCUUGCUGUUGAUUGCAGUUACUGGAAUGAAGAUGACAAACACUUCCCAUGCUACCUGCGACAUCACUGCUAUGGUCCCCAGAAUCUGUAUUAUUGAAAAAGCACACCAACCUAAUUUGGUUGCCAUUUCCAAGUCUAUUACACUUUGAUCAGUAGAUGCCUGGCAAUAAAACAACUUAAAGACCGCCAUCUUAUUGUAUCUGGUACCUUUAGGCAUUUCUCCUCUCAGAGAUCUGAUCAUUUAUGAAUUAAAAGUUAGACUUAUCGCUUUUGGAGAUUAGAGUCAUUCGAUAUAACACCAUCUUUGUAGAAGUUUCUUCUCCCAUAUGCUGUGGUCCAUGAGGUGUUGGGAAUUGGAUUGAACAUAAUGGCUAGGAAUUGCUUCACCCCUAAUGAGCUAUUCGGAUGAAGGAGGGAAUGAAAGAGAACUUGCAUUUUGCAUCAAGAACUAUGAUGAAUUGGGUAAUGAUCUAUCAGGUGUCUGUUACCUAUAUACUUCUGUAAUUGAGAUCAGAGAAAA